CAAAAAAUAGUAUAAUUAUUAUUUAGAUUUUGGGGAUCUAGGAUGAUUAGAGAAGUCUUUUUUGA
rnacentral:tRNA from 1 species